CGCGACACUGACCACCCGAUGUAUUUGUCACUAACAGCUCCGGGCGAAUCCCAGGAGUCCAACGUCUGUAUUGAUGAGACCGACGGGUCGGUGCACGAAGUGGGAGAAUCGUGGAACGGAACCAACUGCGUGGUGUGCAGGUGUAGAAUUGGAAUCUACAGUUGCUGUGAUCGGGCUUUCAGACCAAUCAUGUUCCCUGAAGAUUGUGUCGCAGUUUUGGAUCAUGAAGCUUGUGUCUAUCGAGUCCACUUGAAGGACGACCCAUCUAUCGAAUGUCCCACGUUCGGAAGUGUUGGGAAAUGAGCUGGAAUAAACAGGCAGCUCCCUUCUAAGGUGGAGAUAAUGGGAUACGGGAGCCUUGACUCUUGCAUGUAAUGUCUGUAUAACAAUAAACAUAUUCUGCAGUUG